UCAACAUUUCUCUGUUUCAGC
rnacentral:piRNA from 1 species